rnacentral:lncRNA from 1 species
CUAGGUCCCUCUUAUUAUUGUUUGAUAGAGAUAGCAAUUUUAACUGACAUGUUGGAUAUUCAACUCAAAUGAGAUAGAUUUUAUUCGAUCUGAUUAGAAUUCGGAGUGGAUAUGGGUUCUAUAAAGAAUACUCAAAGUGAGUUCAGGUUGAAUAUAGAUAAUGGUAUGUCUUAAUUCGAAUUCGAUCUGAUAUAACUUUAAUAUAUAUCCUCCUUUCAAAAUUAUAAUAAUUUUAUAUUAUUUACAUAUGUC